rnacentral:rRNA from 1 species
AGUUUGAUCCUGGCUCAGAUUGAACGCUGGCGGCAGGCUUAACACAUGCAAGUCGAGCGGGGAGAUUGCUUCGGUAAUUGACCUAGCGGCGGACGGGUGAGUAAUACUUAGGAAUCUGCCUAUUAAUGGGGGACAACAUCUCGAAAGGGAUGCUAAUACCGCAUACGCCCUACGGGGGAAAGCAGGGGAUCACUUGUGACCUUGCGUUAAUAGAUGAGCCUAAGUCGGAUUAGCUAGUUGGUGGGGUAAAGGCCUACCAAGGCGACGAUCUGUAGCGGGUCUGAGAGGAUGAUCCGCCACACUGGGACUGAGACACGGCCCAGACUCCUACGGGAGGCAGCAGUGGGGAAUAUUGGACAAUGGGGGGAACCCUGAUCCAGCCAUGCCGCGUGUGUGAAGAAGGCCUUAUGGUUGUAAAGCACUUUAAGCGAGGAGGAGGCUCUUUUGGUUAAUACCCAAGAUGAGUGGACGUUACUCGCAGAAUAAGCACCGGCUAACUCUGUG